rnacentral:rRNA from 1 species
ACUCUCGGCAACGGAUAUCUCGGCUCUCGCAUCGAUGAAGAACGUAGCAAAAUGCGAUACCUGGUGUGAAUUGCAGAAUCCCGCGAGCCAUCGAGUUUUUGAACGCAAGUUGCGCCCGAAGCCUUCUGGCGGAGGGCACGUCUGCCUGGGCGUCACGCCAAAAGACACUCCCAACACCCCCCCGCGGGGCGAGGGACGUGGCGUCUGGCCCCCCGCGCCGCAGGGCGAGGUGGGCCGAAGCAGGGGCUGCCGGCGAACCGCGCUGGGCGCAGCACGUGGUGGGCGACAUCAAGUUGUUCUCGGUGCAGCGUCCCGGCGCGCGGCCGGCCAUUCGGCCCUAAGGACCCAUCGAGCGACCGAGCUUGACCUCGGACCGCGACCCCAGGUCAGUCGGGACUACCCGCUGAGUUUAAGCAUAUAAAUAAGCGGAGGAGAAGAAACUUACAAGGAUUCCCCUAGUAACGGCGAGCGAACCGGGAGCAGCCCAGCUUGAGAAUCGGGCGGCCUCGCUGCCCGAAUUGUAGUCUGGAGAGGCGUCCUCAGCGACGGACCGGGCCCAAGUUCUCUGGAAAGGGACGCCUGGGAGGGUGAGAGCCCCAUCCGGCCCGGACCCUGUCGCACCACGAGGCGCCGUCAACGUGUCGGGUUGUUUGGGAAUGCAGCCCAAAUCGGGCGGUAAACUCCGUCCAAGGCUAAAUACAGGCGAGAGACCGAUAGCGAACAAGUACCGCGAGGGAAAGAUGAAAAGGACUUUGAAAAGAGAGUCAAAGAGUGCUUGAAAUUGCCGGGAGGGAAGCGGAUGGGGGCUGGCGACGCGCCCCGGCCGUAUGCGGAACGACUCCUGCUGGUCCGCCGAUCGGCUCGGGGCGUGGACCGUUGUCGCCCACGCCGGCGGCCAAAGCCCGGGGGCCCUAGGCGCCCCCGGCAGCCGUCGUCGGCGCGGACGGUAUCCGCGCGCCUCUGGCGCGCCCCUCGGGGCGCUGCACCGCAACGGCCUGCGAGCUCCCCAUCCGACCCGUCUUGAAACACGGACCAAGGAGUCUGACAUGCGUGCGAGUCGACGGGUUCAGAAACCUGAGAUGCGCAAGGAAGCUGACGAGCGGGAGGCCCUCACGGGCCGCACCGCUGGCCGACCCUGAUCUUCUGUGAAGGGUUCGAGUUGGAGCACGCCUGUCGGGACCCGAAAGAUGGUGAACUAUGCCUGAGCGGGGCGAAGCCAGAGGAAACUCUGGUGGAGGCUCGAAGCGAUACUGACGUGCAAAUCGUUCGUCUAACUUGGGUAUAGGGGAGAAAGACUAAUCGAACCAUCUAGUAGCUGGUUCCCUCCGAAGUUUCCCUCAGGAUAGCUGGAGCCCACAUGAGUUCUAUCGGGUAAAGCCAAUGAUUAGAGGCAUCGGGGGCGCAACGCCCUCGACCUAUUCUCAAACUUUAAAUAGGUAGGACAGCGCGGCUGCUUCGGUGAGCCGUGCCACGGAAUCGGGAGCUCCAAGUGGGCCAUUUUUGGUAAGCAGAACUGGCGAUGCGGGAUGAACCGGAAGCCGGGUUACGGUGCCAAACUGCGCGCUAACCUAGAACCCACAAAGGGUGUUGGUCGAUUAAGACAGCAGGACGGUGGUCAUGGAAGUCAAAAUCCGUUAAGGAGUGUGUAACAACUCACCUGCCGAAUCAACUAGCCCUGAAAAUGGAUGGCGCUGAAGCGCGCGACCCACACCCGGCCAUCUGGGCGAGCGACAUGCCCCGAUGAGUAGGAGGGCGCGGCGGCCGCUGCAAAACCCGGGGCGCGAGCCCGGGCGGAGCGGCCGUCGGUGCAGAUCUUGGUGGUAGUAGCAAAUAUUCAAAUGAGAACUUUGAAGGCCGAAGAGGAGAAAGGUUCCAUGUGAACGGCACUUGCACAUGGGUAAGCCGAUCCUAAGGGACGGGGGAAACCCGGCAGAUAGCGCG